AGACCACCGAAGAGGCAGCUUGUAACAUGCCCAGCUGAGAAAGCAAACAAGGACCUACUGCAAAGACCCACCACCGAUCAAAAGCAGAGAAUAAAUGAACAUGGGUACCUAGACUCAAUUCAUAUAUCUACGGUGUAACCAUAAACCCAAAGUUCAGAGACAGAACUAGAACAAGGAGCUGAAAAACUGUAAGAGGCAGAGGACAAGGAUGUUUGUUAUGAGUCUGUGCCUGAUAGAUAGGGAAAAUCUACCCGUUAUAUCUCACCAAUAUGGUCACCUAACCAAGACCUGCAAAUGAUACAAGUUGACUUGCCAAUAUGAACAAGAGAAAUCUCACAAGUUUUCACCCUCAAAUGAAAAACUACAGGCAAUCAGGCAAUCAAUGACUGCCAAGAAGAACAAUGGUUUUUUUUUUUUCCCUAGGAAUGAGCCCCCUGAUAUGCUACCUGAUCUCAAGUGGUCAGCUGUAAACACAUGUACAAACAAGCAACACAAAAUGAACUCAAUAGGUCACAUAUAAACACAUAAUGACCCAACAAAUAACUAAAGAAGAGGCUAUGAAUUUGAGAUGAGUCAAGGGAAAAGGAGGAAGGAGGUGGAUGGGGAGAAGAAGGUGGGGGUGGGAUGACGUGAAUAUAACACUCAUGAAUUCUCCCAAAAUAAUAAAAAAAAAUCAAAUUAAAGAAAGGAGUCCAAGAAGUACUCCUGAGUUUUUAGGUUUUAGAGAGAACUUGGAAGGAGCUGCAAAUGUACAGAGAUCUUCUCAGACAUACUAAUGUUCUCUAAGUACCUGGAUGAGCUGUUACAAUUUCCUUUCCGGUCUACCCCCCAUCAUGUGUCAAUCUCGUCCUCUGUAGAGAGUGAGCGAGAUCCUGAUUGAAAACGUGUUGUUGGCACAGACAUGGCCAUGUCAAGGACCCCAGUGCCUCAGUCUCAUGAGUGUGGCCAUGCGUCCCCUGGGUGAGGCCCACAGGGAUGGCAAAGUCUUUCUCUGAUCCAAGUGCAAACGUUGAUGGUGUGAGCAGAAGAAAAUGUCCACCAUGCCUAUCUUCCCUUAGAUACUUACUGUCUGAAGACUGCUCUCAAGAGUCUGCUCCUACCCCGAUUACGGAGACCUGCCUCCUCGUUCAGCAGUGGAUAUCUGUAGACAAUAACCCUGUCUCCCUCUUAAGUACUAUGUAAUAUUCCUGCUUCCCUGUUCAAACGCACAAAAUUAAUACACUGAGCUGCGGUGGUGCUGUGGCUUCGCCAUCAGAGUCUAGAUCACACAACUCCAACUUUUCUUUGUCUGUGUAUCUGUCAUUUCUUCAGUGUCUGUCUUUUCUUCAUUUCCUUGCUGUCCUAGUUAGGUUAAUCCCUCAAGCUGUGUAGGGUAUGGGAUACCCACCCUCCUUUAUUUCUCCUCUUCCCUUACCUCCUCCCCUUUCCUCUUUCUCUUCCUUUCAUCCUCUGUCCGUCUUCCUUUAUUCUAGAGCCACAUGUCCAGUCCUAUUUUUACUUCACAUUCUAAGACAAGAUCACACUAAUUUCUUCAAGUUCAUCUUGAAUUUAUAAUCUUCUUGCGACUGCCUCCAAGGGAGUCAGGGUAACAGGUUUGUGCACCAUGAGACCUGGGAGGGUUUUAUGAAUAGAGAAUUAUGCUGGGUUUUAAAAUUUGUUUAGCACUAGUCCCCAAUUAAUGGCUUUCUUCAUUUUGGUUUCCUGGCUAUUUUAAUGUGCUUACUUUAUAUAUGAACUUUGACUUGUCAAGCUGUAGAAAUCUCAUGCGUUUAAAAAAAAUUAUUUUACAUGUUCACAUUUGAAAUACUUUUUCAUAUUCUAAAGUGAGAUUUUUUCUUCAAAGGAUCUUUGGUUAUAACACCAAUGUCACUUUUAAAAAUUUACUUUUGUCAAAUUAAAUUAUUAAACAUACUUUAAUUAUGAAGUUGACAUUUUCAGUAUCAAAAUCAUAUAAAUUUCAUUAAUAAUAUUUAUUCAAAUGAUCACAAAUAUAAAGGUAUAAACUGUUUUAAAUUUUAUGAAUGAAAAUUCUACAAUUAUGAAACUUACCUAAGACUUUUAGGCUAGAUAUAUCUAAGAUACUCACACACAUGUUUAUGUAUGUACAUUAUGUAUCGUGAAGUAGCAUGAACCACAUUUGCAGUCAUACAUGGUUUCAUGAAGAGGGUAUGUUCCCAUGAAGAGGGUAUGUUCCCAUGAAGAGGGUAUGUUCCCAUGAAGAGGGUAUGUUCCCAUGAAGAGGGUAUGUUCCCAUGAAGAGGGUAUGUUCCCUGCUGCUACAUCAAAGAGAAGAAAGAAGCACAAUACUUCCUACUGACCCUGGCUGAAGAAUUCGUUGGUGACGGGAAUCGAUACUGUAAGCCUAAAUGAACUAUCAUGAUCUAAACCCCAAGAAAGCUGGGCUUCAGUUCAGCCUCGCCACAGUUACUGUUCGGCUAGGGACAUAGUCUUAGGACAAUCUAUCCCCGUCUGCAGUUUCCUUCGCUGCUCUGCAAAUGCGCAAAUGCCAAGUCUCCCUCUGAGACUUGCCAUGGCAAUAAAAGGAGCAAACACUCUCAGCUAUGCACAGAUAUCAUGGGGAUAUUGUGCCAGUGAUGUCUAGAAAUAGCUCCAAAGGCUGGCCUCACAAACCGCUAUGGCUUCAAACACAAAGACAAUUUAAUCACAUCUCACCUCGUCUUUGUAGAUUGCUCUACUGUAUUAUUAAUUUGUGUUUUCUCUAGCUCAAAAUGGGUUCUAAUUGUCCCUUGAUCUCUAAGCAACGUACUACUUUAGUUUAACAGUCCAGACAUGGUAGCUAAUGCCUAUCAUCACAGCACUUAGGAGGCUGAGGAGGUUUGGUCGUUGUGAGUUUGAGGUUAGCUUAGGCUCCACAGUAAGUUCCAGACCUGCCUGAGAUACUGUGAUCGCUACAUCAAUUAAUUCUAAAAGUCGUGCUGCCAUGAAGAUAGCAUUUGGAGGAAACAAACCACUUCAACUAUUUUUAUGUGCAAAGAAAAGUUCACAGAGAGAAAGGACAAAAUCUUACAAAACGCAUGUGGCUUUCAUGCUUGGCACUUCCUAUUUUCAUUUAACUUUUUCUCAUGGGACUCGCUUACUUCUGCUUCUCCUAUGAGUGUUUCGAAGCACCAAGAAAACUUUCAAGGGAGCCAUUUCUGAUGUCGCACAAAUGGGCUUAGGCCUCGCCAGUCUCACUUCUGAGUUGGUCAGUUUGCUAAUAGUGGCUUGGAAUCAGGAAAGAAGGGAGGGGUUGCAUUGUUUCCUAGAACUGUAGUUUAGAGUUUCCCCUGGGGCAUUUCAACCAGGAGUUUCUGAGAGACCCAGAUCCCUGGGAGUCAGGUCACAGGAGCUCAUGAGGUACAUGACUUGUGCUUGCUCUUUUAGUGUUCCAUCCCCCUGCCUCUGUCUCGAUGUUCCCAUUUGCUGUGACUCGGUUUCUCCUUUAACUGUAUCCUUUGGUCAGACACAAUGACAUUUAUGAGAGAGUUCCGUGAAGCAGAAUGGUUAUUCACUUCAUAGAUGUGAAAUUUAAGGCAUGCAGAUAUUAUCCAUCUGUCCAAGGAGAUUGAUCUGGGCCUCCCUAAUAUCAGGGCAGCUUGUCCGAGAGCCAUUUACCUCUAACUUCCAACCUUAUUCAGGCCACUCCAUUUUAGGACUUGUUUAUCUCAACGUUAAGCUAGACUAGCCUCAGGAUGACUACCUUCCAGGCCACUACACAUCUUUCCAAGGCCCUACUAAUAAAUCCUCCCCAGGCCCUGCCUGGAACUUGUCUGUUUUUGGUCCACUGACCAUUUAUAUCAAAAUCCCACCCUGUGUUAGCUGGCCUUAUGCUAGCUUGACAGAAGCUAGCGUCGUCUGAAAGGAGAGAGCCUCAGUUAAGAAAAUACCUCCAUAAAAUCAGGCUGUAGGCAAGCAUAUGGAGUAUUUUCUUAGUGAUUGAUGUGGAAGAGUUCAGUCCACUGUGGGUAGGGGCACCCCUAGGCUGGUGGUCCUGGGUUCUAUAAGAAAGCAGGCUGGGCAAGCUAAGAGGAACAAAUCAGGAAGCAGUGCCCCCUUAUGGCACCCACUUGUAUCAGCUCCUGCCUCCAGGUUCCUGCCCUGUUGGAGUUCAGGCCCUGAUUUCCUUCAGUUUUUACCACUUUUGCGGGAGGUGUGAACCCUGGAGAUUAGGGCUUAAAAAGGGGACUAAAGUUUCACUCAUGAGCCAGCUUUACUCAGAGUAUCAGACAGUUCACACUUGAGGGCUAAGAAAAAUCACCUGAGUAAGGUGUUGAAUCGCCAGGACAACCCACAUGUGGCAAAACAUGUGUUUCCAUAGAGACAUAUGAGUAACAACAGCUAAAUUGAACUCUUUCCUUCCUGCUACACCUGGUAGGAGCGUGAAAACACAGUCCAAGACCGCCUCUGUGUGUCGAAGGAACUGAGGCCACAAGACUCUUGUUUCUUUGGAGAUUUUCGGCAUUCUCACAAGCCUCCGUUCUGGGACUGUGUUCUGACACUUCAGUGAUGGACAGGGGUGUAGAAGUGUAAGCCAAAAAACUUUUUCCUUCCCAGGUUGUUUUAGGUCAUGGUGUUUUAUCACAGCCAUAGUAGCUCUAAGACAAACCUCACUGGAAGUUAGAAUCACUUUUGUAAGUCUUAAGCCUUGUAGGUGCCUGGGUUUUACCUCAGAUCAGUUAGAUGAGCUUAUCCUGGGAUAGAGAUUGAAUCUUCUCUUUUCUGAUAUCAUCCAGGGCUAAGGAUGACAAGCAUACAUCUACAAGUAUAUUAAUUAUCUGCCAAAACAGUGACUUAGGGUGGAAUCAACCUAUAUAACUUGUGUCCUUUCAAAUCCCUCUCUAAUAAUUCCAUACAUUGAAAUCAUCACUUACCUUGUACUUUCAAUUUAACUAUUUAAUAAGUAUUUGAGUGUUUAUCACAAGCUUGUUAAAUAUGAAACCCAAUAUCCAUGUCCGUUAUCUACGCAGUCUUCUAUCCUCAGGGAGUGGGUCACGGCUAAUAUUACUCCAUCAAUCAAAAACACACAAUCAAAAUUACAAUCUAAGCUCAUAUAAAAUCUAACGUUAUUUUGUUGGAUGACUCCCAUUCUAUAUUUUAUCCUUUCUCUCCAUCAUUUUUUUCAUUAAAUAUUUAUUAAAUUUUUAUUAUUUGGUACUUAUUUUGAUAUUUUCUGUUCACAGUUGCUGUCGUUUUAAGAAGAAUCUUUAUCUUUUGAUAUAGAAAGUCAUUGGCUUUUUAAAACGGGUUUCUGCUUUUACUUUUUAUGUUUUUCUUACUUUUUCUUGACCGUUUUCUACAUUUAUACAAUACACUUCAGUCAUUUCACCCCCCUCCCCCAGUUCCGCCCUCUUACCCUCCCUCUUGUCGAAAUCUUGCUUCUGAGCGAGUCCCCUCCUACUCCGAUUUUUCAUUUGUACGUGAGUUUACAGCUACUUCCUUGUGUGGGUGGGUGCUGCUUUACUGGGGAAUCAACAACUUAUCUUCUUGAAAACACUCUGAAACCGUUGCGAAGAGACCUCCGUUGCCGGUACUCCAGGCACUUCUCAUUCAAAUGUCUCUGAUGUGAUGUCGCAGAAGGUUCUGCAGGCCAAGUCAUCAGAAGGCUUAAGAGUCCCCGGUGGAGUCGAACUGAACACGGUUAAGCUGACCACCUUCGAUUUCUAAAGACUGUUUUGAAAGCCUGCACUGCCCGAGAUGAGGAUUUCAUGGUAACGGGCUGGAAACCAGCGCCUCCCUCCUCAUCUUGCACUUCAUGACUCGUUCAAAGAGGAAAACAGCGAAGGUUCCAGUUACCGAGUAAACAGGCUAAAAAUGUAUAUCCUGUGAACGAGCAGAGAAGGCCAAUCCACAGGAGUCUGAAGACUCAGAAAAGGUCUCACAGUGGUUGGACAAACACCUUUGUUCCUCCGGAUCGUCUCCUUCCGACCCUUAGAACCUCUCCCUCAAGUCCGGUUCCCCCCUUUCAAUAACCAUGCCCCUUUAUUUCUAUGACUCAUUUCCGCAGCUCUUAUAGCUGUGAACAAUUUUCAAAGGUCUCUAAAGUGAAGACAUUCACAGAAGAAAAUGGAAAUAAUAAAAUGUCUUUUAUCA